rnacentral:tRNA from 1 species
GCCAGAGUGGUGUAGUGGUCUGAAUGCUGGACUACAACUCUGGAGACCAGGGUUCAAAUUCCACUCUUGGUC